UGGGGAAUAUUGCACAAUGGGCGCAAGCCUGAUGCAGCCAUGCCGCGUGUUUGAAGAAGGCCUUCGGGUUGUAAAGUACUUUCAGUCGGGAGGAAGGUGGUAAGGUUAAUAACCUUAUCAAUUGACGUUACCGACAGAAGAAGCACCGGCUAACUCCGUGCCAGCAGCCGCGGUAAUACGGAGGGUGCAAGCGUUAAUCGGAAUUACUGGGCGUAAAGCGCACGCAGGCGGUCUGUCAAGUCGGAUGUGAAAUCCCCGGGCUCAACCUGGGAACUGCAUUCGAAACUGGCAGGCUAGAGUCUUGUAGAGGGGGGUAGAAUUCCAGGUGUAGCGGUGAAAUGCGUAGAGAUCUGGAGGAAUACCGGUGGCGAAGGCGGCCCCCUGGACAAAGACUGACGCUCAGGUGCGAAAGCGUGGGGAGCAAACAGG
rnacentral:rRNA from 1 species